GACGAACGCUGGCGGCGUGCCUAAUACAUGCAAGUAGAACGCUGAAGGAGGAGCUUGCUUCUCUGGAUGAGUUGCGAACGGGUGAGUAACGCGUAGGUAACCUGCCUGGUAGCGGGGGAUAACUAUUGGAAACGAUAGCUAAUACCGCAUAAUAUUGACUAUUGCAUGAUAGUCAGUUGAAAGGUGCAACUGCACCACUACCAGAUGGACCUGCGUUGUAUUAGCUAGUUGGUGGGGUAACGGCUCACCAAGGCGACGAUACAUAGCCGACCUGAGAGGGUGAUCGGCCACACUGGGACUGAGACACGGCCCAGACUCCUACGGGAGGCAGCAGUGGGGAAUCUUCGGCAAUGGACGGAAGUCUGACCGAGCAACGCCGCGUGAGUGAAGAAGGUUUUCGGAUCGUAAAGCUCUGUUGUAAGAGAAGAACGAGUGUGAGAGUGGAAAGCUCACACUGUGACGGUAUCUUACCAGAAAGGGACGGCUAACUACGUG
rnacentral:rRNA from 1 species